CUGGGGCUCAUGCGCAUGGGGGAACCCUGACGCACAACGCCGCGUGAGUGUGAAGCUUUCGGGUCGUAUACUAUCUCGAGGGACGAACCCUAGGGUAACGCCUAGAAUGAUUAUCCCUCAAGGAAGCACCGGCUAUUUCUGUGCCAGCAGCCGCGGUAAUCAGAGGGUGCAAGUCCUGUUCGGACCUCCUGGGCGUAAAGGGCGUGUAGGUGGUUCGGUAAGUCAGCGUGAACUCCCUGGGCUCAACCCAGGAACUGCCCCUGAACUGUCGGACUAGAGUGCGGCAGAUGAUAUCUGGACCUCCCGGUGUAGAGGUGAUUCUUCGUAGAGAUCGGGAGGAUCACCACUGGCGAAAGCGGCUUCUCUGGGCCUGCACUGACCCUAGACGCGAAACCUUGGGGAGCGAACAGGAUUAGAUACCCUGGUAUUCCACGCUUGUAAACAAUAUCACUAGAUUUCGGAUGAAUUUGACCCCUUCGGUAUCUUACCUACGCAUUAAUUCCUCCCCUUGGGAACUCGGCCGCAAGGCUAAACUCAAAGGAAC
rnacentral:rRNA from 1 species